rnacentral:lncRNA from 1 species
GCUCCCGUAGGAGUCCGGAUGAAGUCUACCUGCAAUUUAAGUCGGGGGCGAAGUCCGGCUCCCGUAGGAGUUCGGAUGAAUUCUUCCUACAGCCGGAGUCGGGGAUGAAGUCCGGCUCCCGUAGGAGUCCGGGCGAAGUCUAGAAGGUGGUCGAUCACCAUGGAAACUUGAGUGGAGUUCGUCCAUCGUGAAGAAUCCGAUCGACGUUGGUGGGGAUUUAUCCAUCGGCAGAACUUGGGAGUGUUGCGGAGGCUUGGCCGCCAGAGAGGUUCGGCAAGAUGUCGUCG